rnacentral:rRNA from 1 species
UACGUAGGGUGCGAGCGUUGUCCGGAAUUAUUGGGCGUAAAGAGCUUGUAGGUGGUUUGUCGCGUCUGCUGUGAAAAUCCGGGGCUCAACCCCGGACUUGCAGUGGGUACGGGCAGGCUAGAGUGUGGUAGGGGAGACUGGAAUUCCUGGUGUAGCGGUGAAAUGCGCAGAUAUCAGGAGGAACACCGGCGGCGAAGGCGGGUCUCUGGGCCGAUACUGACGCUGAGGAGCGAAAGCGUGGGGAGCGAACAGG